GGGUCAGGAGAAGGGCCGCCACCUGCUUCCCAAGCAGAUAGCGCGGGUUCGAUUCCCGUCAGUCCCUCCA
rnacentral:tRNA from 1 species